rnacentral:rRNA from 1 species
UGAGGAAUUUUGCGCAAUGGGGGCAACCCUGACGCAGCGACGCCGCGUGGAGGACGAAGGCCUUCGGGUCGUAAACUCCUGUCAAGCGGGACGAAAGCUUGCGGAAUGAAUAAGUCCGCGGGUUGACGGUACCGCUGGAGGAAGCCCCGGCUAACUCCGUGCCAGCAGCCGCGGUAAUACGGAGGGGGCCAGCGUUGUUCGGAAUUAUUGGGCGUAAAGGGCGCGUAGGCGGCUUGGUAAGUCAGUCGUGAAAUCCCUCGGCUCAACCGAGGAACUGCGUCUGAUACUGUCGAGCUUGAGUCCCGGAGAGGGUAGCGGAAUUCCCAGUGUAGCGGUGAAAUGCGUAGAUAUUGGGAGGAACACCAGUGGCGAAGGCGGCUACCUGGACGGGUACUGACGCUGAGGCGCGAAAGCGUGGGGAGCAAACAGGAUUAGAUACCCCGGUAGUCC